rnacentral:rRNA from 1 species
AGGACUAACGCUGGCGGCGUGCCUAACACAUGCAAGUCGAACGAGAGUAGCAAUACUCUAGUGGCAGACGGGUGAGUAACACGUGGUCAACCUACCUUUAAGUGGGGGAUAACUAGCCGAAAGGUUAGCUAAUACCGCAUACGAUCUUCGCGUGGCAUCACAUGAAGAUGAAAGGAGCAAUCCGCUGAAAGACGGGACCGCGUCCCAUUAGCCAGUUGGUGGGGUAACGGCCUACCAAAGCAACGAUGGGUAGCUGGCUUGAGAGAGCGACCAGCCACACUGGGACUGAGACACGGCCCAGACUCCUACGGGAGGCAGCAGUGAGGAAUUUUCCGCAAUGGGCGAAAGCCUGACGGAGCGACGCCGCGUGUGGGAUGAAGGCCUUCGGGUCGUAAACCACUGUCGAAGGGGAAGAUAUUGACGGUACCCUUGGAGGAAGCCCCGGCUAACGUACGUGCCAGCAGCCGC